rnacentral:rRNA from 1 species
CCUACGGGAGGCAGCAGUGAGGAAUAUUGGUCAAUGGACGAGAGUCUGAACCAGCCAAGUAGCGUGAAGGAUGACUGCCCUAUGGGUUGUAAACUUCUUUUAUAUGGGAAUAAAACGUUCCACGUGUGGGAUUUUGUAUGUACCAUAUGAAUAAGGAUCGGCUAACUCCGUGCCAGCAGCCGCGGUAAUACGGAGGAACCGAGCGUUAUCCGGCUUUAUUGGGUUUAAAGGGAGCGUAGGUGGAUUGUUAAGUCAGUUGUGAAAGUUUGCGGCUCAACCGUAAAAUUGCAGUUGAAACUGGCAGUCUUGAGUACAGUAGAGGUGGGCGGAAUGCGUGGUGUAGCGGUGAAAUGCUUAGAUAUCACGAAGAACUCCGAUUGCGAAGGCAGUUCACUGGACUGCAACUGACACUGAGGCUCGAAAGUGUGGGUAUCAAACAGGAUUAGAUACCCCGGUAGUC